UGGGAAUGCCUGCCCUAGCACAUACUACAGGAAGCUGGAAGCAUCUCAGGAGCCAAGUGGAGGAUGCUUGUUCAUCUCUGGAUGCAAACCCCAGACUCCCUGGACAGGCCUUCAGCCCUGUGAACCUUGAAGACAGGAAAUUAAUUUGGAUGCACAAUCCCGAAGGAUUGACUGUCCCCCUGGGGAGACAUUCCAAGUGCUGGCCAGGAAGAGAAAUAUUGAUUGGAGCUUGCCAAGAAAAAUCUUUUCCCAGAAAAUGAUCGGGACCAAGCUGUUCUAAGUCAUACGAGUCCCACCCCUUGUUUUGUGUCUGUUCUAGGGCUUAACCUUGCUGCAGCUGAACUGCUUAGGGAAGGGGAUAAUGGACAUAACACGUCUAUUUUAUAUAGCAUGUACUCAUUGGAGAACAUCUCAAUCACUGAGAAUCAUAUUGCAAUAAACUAGUUAGAGGAAAAUACUGGUAUCAGCAGCACAGCUUGGAGAUAGAUUUCUAAACUAAACAUUACAGUUUGGAAGUUGUGUCUACAAUUAACAUGUGAAAACAUCACCACAAACUGCAGACACCAUCAAAGUUUACAUGGCCUAUCAUUACAAGAUACUUGUCUACUCUCCCGGAACCUGCAGGAGGCUCACACUUUGAAUGGAGAGAACAAUGCUGGGAAUCCGCUGUCCGUGAGGAAUGAUGGUAGGGCCUAAAGACGCGAAUGGUCCCCAAUUACUGCCCACUUGCAAUUCCUCUCUCUGGUCUUUUCUCUGAGCGGAAACUACAAA